AAAAUCUUUUGUUGUUUACAGUGACUUUUCGUGGGGCCCAAAGCCACAAUCCCUGCUUUGGGAUGCCAGUGCUUUAUCAGUGACCUCUGUGUUUUGUUUCAUUUUGUUUUAAAUCUGUAGGCCUAGAAUUUCAGACAACCUCAAAAUAGGUUUUGCAAUCUCUGAUCAUGCCACUCAAACUGAUAUAAGUGAAAUAGGAGAUGUAAAAGAAUUUAUGACAACAACGAGAACUUUGCUACAGUUCACAAACUCGGUCUAUGAGGAGUUUGCAAGGUAUAAAAGUGUCCUCCAAGCCCAGUAUGAGGAAAAAAAUAAAAGAGCAUGCAUCCAAUCUCUGGACAGAAAUAAGUGACAGACUUAAAUAUAUUGAGGACUUUUAUAAGCAGAAUAUAUAUACCCUGCUCUUCAGCCAAAAGGCUAUCAAAGCGGCUUACUUUUUUUUUUUUAAUUAGACAGUUUCCUGCCCUCAGGCUUACAAACUUCAAGCUCUUUUGAGCCUUGUGAGUAUAUUCCAUUGUGCUGAAUGCAGUCUUAGGUUGUUCCAGUCAGAUACUUUGUAGCACUGUCAAUCAAAAUAUAUUGUGCAGGUAUUCCAUCUUUUAUUCCACCGUAAUAAUUCCACAGGAUUCCCUAGCACUGAGCCAGGGCAGUUAAAGUAGUCUCAAACUGGAUUAUUUCUGCACUAUGUUUUGGACCAAAGAGACUGACAGCUUUUAUCAGGCCAACACUUUCAUGCACUAUUAUCUGCUUCAUUAGAUCCAGGUUUAAUGAAGUGGACUGCUUGUGCCAAAUAAAGACUUUUGUUCUUGAAGGUACCAGAGGAAUCUCUGCUGGCUUAUCAGCAUCAAAUUAACGUAGGUACUGAUUGAAAAUCUCUACAAUAGAUUUUCUUUGCUAAAAAUUUUUUUAAAAGGAAGAAAGUGUUGGGAAGCACAGGAGGGUUACAAAUCAAAGAUGACAAUUUCUGGGCCUCAUGUGAAAUUUCUUGUGUGGAGUGAGCAGACAAUAAAUGCCUCAUCUGAAAGCACCCCUAAAAGACUGCAUUCAGAUACACAAUAUACAGUAAAUACAAAUCUAAAAUUCAGUGUCACUAAAAUGAGUGGUACUUAUUCAUGAGUGCAGUUGCAUAGGAAUAUGCUGCUAUCCUUGCCACACACCAAGUUGCUGUCAGCUAAAGCAGAGAUGAGAAACAUAGUCUUCCAGAUGUUGUUGGACUGCAACUUUCCUUUCCCUCACCAUGAGCUGUGUUGGCUAGAGCUGAUAAAGUUUACACUGCAAAUAACAUCUAGAGAGCUAUAUGGAGCG